UUUUGUAGUGGUUAAUGGCAUAUUUAAUUUACAUUUCUUUCUUUUUAAAGAUCAUUCUGUAUACACCUUUAUACUCGUCACAGAUUUGGAAACAGCAGGCAGCCUCUGGGAUGUCUGUGCUGUAGGUUUGAAACAUUUUGCGUCCCACUAAAUCCUGGAACAGCAGCCUCCUUAGAGUGCCUUAGAAAUGUUGGAGAUCAUUGGGAACUGCAUGUUAAACUGGCUGGCCUUAGCUCUUGAUAGUGUGUGUGUAUUUAAUUCUACAUCUACUAAAUACACACACCCUGUAAUGGAAGUAAUUGUAUUGUGACUGAUACUACAUUAAUGAAUUUUCUUCUUUGUUUUUCUGUUGUUAAACCCCUCUUGAAUAGAAGUUACUGGAAGGUUUUAUCUUCACCUGUCGUAAGUCGGUGCCUGGAAUUCUGCUUCCUUAAAUGCGUUUCUUAAAAAGUUGAUAUGUUAACUAGGCAACAAGAAUAGAAAGGUUUAGCCACAAGUAAAGAACAGUGACAUACAUGAGAAGAGAGAGUGAAUCAGCCUGCAACCACUUGAUCUGAAGAAGCAAAAGGAGCAGAAGAUCGCUCCCGCAUUCCAGACAACUGUACAAAACCUCAAAUUCAGUAUAGGCCAAAACAAAACAAAGGUGAGAUUCAACUUUCAGUUCCCAUGCUUCAAGAAGUUUAGGUCAUAUUUGACUUGCAUGGGAAUGUUUGGCCAAUGUCUUGCUCUUAUGUUAACUGCUGCUCAUUCUGCCAUGGCUGAUGCAGAGAAAAUAAAUAAAUGAAAUCUAUCUGCAUGUUCAUAGAAUGACUUGAAUUGGAAGAGACCUUAAAGCCCACCCAGUUCCAACCCCCUGCCAUGGGCAGAGUUACCACCUACCAGCUCAGGUUGCCUAGGGCCCCAUCCAACCUGGCCUUGAGCGCCUCCAGGGAUGGGGCACCCACAGCUUCUUUGGGGAAUUGAAUAGAACAGAAAUUAAAUGUAUUAAACUGAAGGGAACCAGGAGCCUGAAGGGGCAGAGAAGAAAGAAAUCAA